GCGGCCUAGACGGAUUAGCUUGAAAGGGACUACAUGGCGGUUGCUUGGUAACUACAAACCUACUCAAAUGUUUGACGAAUAUAAGAGACUAGGCUGUAAUUUAUUUGGCCGUGAAAAGUGAAUAAAGUGCUUUUAUUGCAACCUCACCUCACCUUUAACUAUUCGCUUAACAUGAAAGAUGACAGAGACGUGUUAAUACGUCAUGUGACUGUCCUAAAACUCGUCUUAUAGGUGUGUGUGGGUUUUUUUUUUCCUACCUAAGACAUGUUUGUUCACUGACUCUCCAGUGGCCAGUGUACUAAUAGUGGUUUUAGCUGGAUCCCUGCCACUCUCAGUGCUUUGCUGCAGGCUCAGUCCGGGCUGUUUUUCCUAUUCUGGGAUGUCCUUGUGUGACCCGGGCUGCCAUGCCAAGAUCCAGGCUGUGUCUAAUGAAAGUAGAGUUCCAGCAAGUUUAUUUCUAAAAAAAAAAAAAAAGAAAAAAGAAAAAGAAAAAAGGAAAACCAGAAUCAAGACUCAGGCUGCCAGUGUUUCAUUAAGCCAUACUUGUCAAGGCGGCGGUGGAGAAUGUGAAAAGUAGCAGUAGCUGUGGGAUUGUGGUGGCGGGUUUGGGAGAUUUAAAUACAAAAAAAGAGAGAGGUAUUUACACAAUAAAAAGAGCAUUUUAUGCAGUAGAAAAGAUUCCAACUUAUACUUGGAAACAAAUGAGGAAACUAAUCAGACGAACUUCUAAAGCUUACAGAAAGUUAUUUUCUAUGCUUGGAUUUGUUGUGUUAAAUUUACGCAGUAUCAUGUGACUGUGGUGUCUCCAUUUAUAAGACUUUAAUUAAAUUAGUCUUAUUGGGAAUUUAAAAGUUUUAUAGGACAAAAAACUGGCAAAAAUUUUCCUAAUAAACUUACAGAACGAACGUUUCAGAGAGGUAAGGUGAUUAGAGUUGGGAACUUUUAAUCUGUCAAAAUCUUUUCUGAGAUCAGUGCUUUAAAACAAAGAGAUUUGGAUUUCUUUUGUAACCCGCAGAUCCCUGCAAGGCGGAGAGUAUUUCAAAGUAAAUUUCCUCUGUUGCCAUCAGAACAGAUAUUGUCAUACUAAAUAGUAAAACAUUUCUCCUUAGGUUUUAUAUCUCUUUACUGACUUUUUGUCCUUUUUUCCCCAAAAAAAGUACAUUUAUUCUGCUUUUAUUACACGGCUACUGUCAGUUCUUGAUUCUGAUUGGUCGUUAUGUAGCGACAGUUAAAAGAACUGGUCUGUUAUUUCUUGAUAGCAGACCGUUGCCAUCUGUUAAGGCACACUCAGUAUGUCUACAUGCACCGUUAGGUCAAGCUACGAUCAUAGCUUGAUUUAACUGGACGACUUACGGUAUCAUUGUUGUCGGACAAAAAUACAUUUUUCUUACUGCUAAAUUGCCGCCACAACAACUUUCAUACAAUAGGACACAGCAUGUAACAAGUAGAGCAUUAAACCUGCAGCAUCCUAUCACUGCAGCGGUUUGCGAGGGAACAGUGCAGGUUCAGUGUGAAUUCUUCUAAACCUUCAGUGAACGAAUCACUCACUGAGCCCAAUUCACCAAGCAGACCUGAUAAUAAACAGCAUACCAUAGGACAGUACACUUAAAACACCAUGACUUAUAAAAAGUUUAUAAGUCAACAACAAGCCUGUUUGCCAAAGCAACACAGCCAAACACUCUCGUCUCCCGGUCCUGAACUGUUCAGCUGUGUAUCAGUUCAGGAGGUCAGAGAUUAGGUGAUUUGGUGAACGAAUCUUUUGAACAAAUCUUUUCAGUAAACUGAUUCUAUUGAUUCAGUAUAUCUAAAAGAACUGCAGUGCCCAUCACUAGCCUUUUGUACUGGGUUUUUUUUUUUGUGCAAUAGGAAAAUUUCGUAUUUUUUUAUUUCUUUCAAGGUUGCAUUUACUACCAGCUUUCUGGCAACGCAUUCAUGCUGUUCAACUUUGAACUUCCAGGCCAAUGUCAGUCCAAUUGAGCUGUAUAUGUGGAAGACAACAUUGACCACCAAUCGCAUUAUCCUGGUUUGAAUCGGUCUAAUGGACUAAUGCAAUAAAUCCAUUUCUUUAAACCACAUGUAAAUGUACUGGCUCACUAGCAGACUUCCUCUGCUCAUACCAUCUCUAAGGAAGAGGAAAUCUACCAAACUGAAGAUGGAAAACAUGGUGUAUGAGAGAUGAAAAUGAUACAAACACCCACAAGAAACACUUUUAGGAAGUUUGUUCACCUUGUUUAAGCAUACUAUCACUGUAAAUGUUCAGUUUGAUGUCAAUAAAAGCAGCCUAGUUAGUUUGAAAAUGAUUCAGGUGCAUUUGCAUGAGGAAAAACUAAGCUAGAUUAAGAAUUCUUCAAUGCUGUAAGUUAUAAUAACAAAUUGGCUUAGUAAAUAUUUAAUACACAGCUAAGUAAGCUUGAAAAUUUUAGUUCAAUGUGCAUAACAGCUAAAUGAGCUCAAAGCAGAGGUAUCUUUAGAAAAUACUCAGUUCAACAUGCUUCAUUUUGGCGUGCAACUCACUGCAUAAGGGAUCCAAUCAACCAUAGUGACCGGCUAUUGAUUUGUCAUUUUGAUUAAUUAUCAGUGUGCUUAAUAUCAGUAUGCAUUUAGCUCUAAGUCGUACCAAACCACUUGCCUCUAGAAGGAUUAAUAAAGUUGUUUGUAUUUGAAGUAUAAUCCCGAAAGUUAAGGCAAACCUACUCAUCCCUCCUUGACCACUUCAAAAGUCAAAGGUCAACACAUGUACACAUGAGAUGAGGACAUGGCUAGUAUUUGGAGAGACCCCUUUGCCAAGUGUUUGUUCAUUAAGUAUCCUUUCUUACUUUAAUGAGCUUGGAAGACUUAGUGUUUCAGCGAUAACCUUGCAGACUGGGUCACACGAGGCUGAACCAGAACAGAGGCCCAAUGAUUCUGGGAAAAUCAGAUUCAUGAAACCACCACUGGCCAGCACACAUGCUCUCUUCUCCCCUUUUAGCCGAGUUGUAAACAACCAAAAGACGCCAGUGGUCUAAUCCAGAUCACAGCAACAGUUUAACAGAGCGGUCUGGAUCAACUAAAUUCACAGGAACUCUUGAUUACAGAGCGCCAAGUGUUAAGUGAUUUCUCUGGUACACGCCAGAUGCCCUCAGAGCUUGAUGAGUAACUUUUCUUGCUUUCCUUGUGAACACCUUUUUUGGCAGCAUUUGAAUGAACUAUGAAGGAAAUUGAACAAGUGUUGUGACAUUGCAAUUUACUCCCAGUUUUCUUGGUAAUUUGAAAUGUUUCUUCACUUAUCCUAUUUCCUUUUGUUCUAGAUUUUUCUACUUUCUUUUUUCAAUGUGAGAAAACAAUAUAAACCUGCUUUUAGUUUAACAGCGAUUAGAUCAGUAACAAGUAUUUAAACCAAGCCGCUUUUCCUACUGCUAUCAUAUCCAAUGCUUCUUUGCAAAGAGAGGAGGCCAUGCUGAGGAUUAGGCAAUGCUAAAUCAGGGAAUUAAGGGGCAGGGUUUGCAUGGUAGGGUGAGAAUGAUAGGCCUCGUGGAAAAAAACAAAAAAAACAGCGUGUCUUCAUUUAGCUAGAUUUGAGUGCCUGAGCGAGGGCGGUUCAUUUGCACAUCAGUAUCUGAGUCACAUCCAUUUUAAUGGAAAAUGUUCUUUUGGUCUUUUUUUCCCGGAAACUUUCAUCACGACCACAUCUAGUCCGACUUUUGAUGAUUACAAAAUGUGAAAUGUCAAUUUUGUGAGGCUGGGGUGUAAAAUAAUUAUUCGAUCACCUUUUUUUUUUCAGCCAUGUCACAGCGAGUUACAGUUCAACCACUUCAGCCGUGACUACAUAAAGGAAGAGUUUGUUAUUUUGAAUGAGGCUGUUGUGAAAUUUUGGUUUAAAAAAAAAAAAAACAGUCAGCACAGCCCUUGAUGGGAAGCUAAAAUAUGUAGCGCUUUGGUUAGUGUAAAUGACCCCUUCUUAAAGGGAUAUUCCAACGUAAAAUUAAUUAAAGGUCAAACACACCAUAACACCGAGUUAGACAUCCUGUCGAGAGAUGAAUGUUGCCGACCGCUUGCUUUUCUAGUUAUACCAACUUAAGUAACGACCACAUAGCAAUACACAGCGGUCCGAGGAGCCAUAAACAAACCUCAACCAAAACGCCACUCUAUAGCCACAAAUAAUGCUCAGAACAGCACCUAAACAGCACCAAACAUCUUUUUAACUUUGUGCAAUUUUUUUUAGCAAAGUGACUAAACACAACUCACCUUCUCUCUUCCAGCAGCCACUUGUUUGUAGGAGACCUCCGGGCGAGUCCAUCGACUGCAGCGGGGUGACGCAGCUCAAGGAAGAACAUUUAUGAUCAUAACUUUAUCAUUUCCUUGAAUCAUCAUAUUGAUCAUUUUGCACUGCAGACACGGUAGUUCUUCUGCCUUAGCAUCUCAGUCUGAUUGCAUUUUCAUAAAGAAAUGAUGUGUGUUGACCCUAACUUAAUUUUAUA